AGAGUUUGAUCCUGGCUCAGGACGAACGCUGGCGGCGUGCCUAAUACAUGCAAGUAGAACGCUGAAGAGAGGAGCUUGCUCUUCUUGGAUGAGUUGCGAACGGGUGAGUAACGCGUAGGUAACCUGCCUUGUAGCGGGGGAUAACUAUUGGAAACGAUAGCUAAUACCGCAUAACAAUGGAUGACACAUGUCAUUUAUUUGAAAGGGGCAAUUGUUCCACUACAAGAUGGACCUGCGUUGUAUUAGCUAGUAGGUGAGGUAAUGGCUCACCUAGGCGACGAUACAUAGCCGACCUGAGAGGGUGAUCGGCCACACUGGGACUGAGACACGGCCCAGACUCCUACGGGAGGCAGCAGUAGGGAAUCUUCGGCAAUGGGGGCAACCCUGACCGAGCAACGCCGCGUGAGUGAAGAAGGUUUUCGGAUCGUAAAGCUCUGUUGUAAGUCAAGAACGGGUGUGAGAGUGGAAAGUUCACACUGUGACGGUAGCUUACCAGAAAGGGACGGCUAACUACGUGCCAGCAGCCGCGGUAAUACGUAGGUCCCGAGCGUUGUCCGGAUUUAUUGGGCGUAAAGCGAGCGCAGGCGGUUUGAUAAGUCUGAAGUUAAAGGCUGUGGCUCAACCAUAGUUCGCUUUGGAAACUGUCAAACUUGAGUGCAGAAGGGGAGAGUGGAAUUCCAUGUGUAGCGGUGAAAUGCGUAGAUAUAUGGAGGAACACCGGUGGCGAAAGCGGCUCUCUGGUCUGUAACUGACGCUGAGGCUCGAAAGCGUGGGGAGCGAACAGGAUUAGAUACCCUGGUAGUCCACGCCGUAAACGAUGAGUGCUAGGUGUUGGAUCCUUUCCGGGAUUCAGUGCCGCAGCUAACGCAUUAAGCACUCCGCCUGGGGAGUACGACCGCAAGGUUGAAACUCAAAGGAAUUGACGGGGGCCCGCACAAGCGGUGGAGCAUGUGGUUUAAUUCGAAGCAACGCGAAGAACCUUACCAGGUCUUGACAUCCCGAUGCUAUUUCUAGAGAUAGAAAGUUACUUCGGUACAUCGGUGACAGGUGGUGCAUGGUUGUCGUCAGCUCGUGUCGUGAGAUGUUGGGUUAAGUCCCGCAACGAGCGCAACCCCUAUUGUUAGUUGCCAUCAUUCAGUUGGGCACUCUAGCGAGACUGCCGGUAAUAAGCCGGAGGAAGGUGGGGAUGACGUCAAAUCAUCAUGCCCCUUAUGACCUGGGCUACACACGUGCUACAAUGGUUGGUACAACGAGUUGCGAGUCGGUGACGGCGAGCUAAUCUCUUAAAGCCAAUCUCAGUUCGGAUUGUAGGCUGCAACUCGCCUACAUGAAGUCGGAAUCGCUAGUAAUCGCGGAUCAGCACGCCGCGGUGAAUACGUUCCCGGGCCUUGUACACACCGCCCGUCACACCACGAGAGUUUGUAACACCCGAAGUCGGUGAGGUAACCUUUUGGAGCCAGCCGCCUAAGGUGGGACAGAUGAUUGGGGUGAAGUCGUAACAAGGUA
rnacentral:rRNA from 1 species